GAUGAACGCUGGCGGCGUGCCUAAUACAUGCAAGUCGAGCGAUGCGUGUACGGUUGUUUAACACUUGGAUAACCUCCUAUAAGACUGGGCUAACUUCGGUUACCCUGAGCUACACCCGAUACUUAUUGAUUGCUCCUCGCUGCAUUAGCUAGUUGGUAAGUUAACGGCUUACCAAGGCAACGAUGCAUAGCCGACCUGAGAGGGUGAUCGGCAACACUGGAACGGGGACCUGGUCCAGACUCCUACGUGAGGCAGCAGUAGGGAAUCUUCCGCAAUGGGCGAAAGCCUGACGGAGCAACGCCGCGUGAGUGAUGAAGGUCUUCGGAUCGUAAAACUCUGUUAUUAGGGAAGCGGGAACUAAAGAGAAAGCAACGGCUAACUACGUGCCAGCCGCCGCGGUAAUAG
rnacentral:rRNA from 1 species